UCCCAAGUUCAUUCAGGCAAGUUGUGAGA
rnacentral:piRNA from 1 species